AUACGGAGGGUGCGAGCGUUAAUGGGAAUUACUGGGCGUAAAGGGUGCGUAGGCGGCUUGAUAAGUCGGAUGUGAAAGCCCCGGGCUUAACCUGGGAAUUGCAUUCGAUACUGUCAGGCUAGAGUAUGUCAGAGGUUGGCGGAAUUCCUGGUGUAGCGGUGAAAUGCGUAGAUAUCAGGAGGAACACCAGUGGCGAAGGCGGCUAACUGGGACAAUACUGACGCUGAGGCACGAAAGCGUGGGGAGCAAACAGGAUUAGAAACCCCAGUAGUCC
rnacentral:rRNA from 1 species